AUACAGAGGGUGCAAGCGUUAAUCGGAAUUACUGGGCGUAAAGCGCGCGUAGGCGGCUUGGUCAGUCGGAUGUGAAAGCCCUGGGCUCAACCUGGGAAUUGCAUUCGAUACUGCCAAGCUAGAGUAUGUGAGAGGGAAGUGGAAUUUCCGGUGUAGCGGUGAAAUGCGUAGAUAUCGGAAAGAACACCAGUGGCGAAGGCGACUUCCUGGCCCAAUACUGACGCUGAGGUGCGAAAGCGUGGGGAGCGAACAGGAUUAGAUACCCUUGUAGUCC
rnacentral:rRNA from 1 species